GUAGUAUUGGGAUAAUAGUUUCCAAAUACACAGAGAAGCAUUUUAUCAAAUACUUGGUGAGUUAGUUAAAUAAAAGUGCUUCCUCCUCAUCGCCCUCCCUAUCCCGGUUAUCAAUCCCAAC
rnacentral:sRNA from 1 species